rnacentral:rRNA from 1 species
GACGAACGCUGGCGGCGUGCUUAACACAUGCAAGUCGAACGGAAAGGCCCUGCUUUUGUGGGGUGCUCGAGUGGCGAACGGGUGAGUAACACGUGAGUAACCUGCCCUUGACUUUGGGAUAACUUCAGGAAACUGGGGCUAAUACCGGAUAGGAGCUCCUGCUGCAUGGUGGGGGUUUGAAAGUUUCGGCGGUUGGGGAUGGACUCGCGGCUUAUCAGCUUGUUGGUGGGGUAGUGGCUUACCAAGGCUUUGACGGGUAGCCGGCCUGAGAGGGUGACCGGCCAAAUGGGGACUGAGAUACGGCCCAGACUCCUACGGGAGGCAGCAGUGGGGAAUAUUGCACAAUGGGCGGAAGCCUGAUGAAGCAACGCCGCGUGCGGGAUGACGGCCUUCGGGUUGUAAACCGCUUUCGCCUGUGACGAAGCGUGAGUGACGGUAAUGGGUAAAGAAGCACCGGCUAACUACGUG